rnacentral:rRNA from 1 species
UACGUAGGGUGCGAGCGUUGUCCGGAAUUAUUGGGCGUAAAGAGCUCGUAGGCGGUUUGUCGCGUCUGCCGUGAAAGUCCGGGGCUUAACCCCGGGUCUGCAUUCGAUACGGGCAGACUAGAGUGUGGUAGGGGGAGAUCGGAAUUCCUGGUGUAGCGGUGAAAUGCGCAGAUAUCAGGAGGAACACCGGUGGCGAAGGCGGAUCUCUGGGCCAUUACUGACGCUGAGGAGCGAAAGCGUGGGGAGCGAACAGG